rnacentral:rRNA from 1 species
UGGGAAUUUUGGACAAUGGCGCAAGCCUGAUCCAGCCAUGCCGCGUGCGGGAAGAAGGCCUUCGGGUUGUAAACCGCUUUUGUCAGGGAAGAAAUCCUCUGAGUUAAUACCUCGGGAGGAUGACGGUACCUGAAGAAUAAGCACCGGCUAACUACGUGCCAGCAGCCGCGGUAAUACGUAGGGUGCAAGCGUUAAUCGGAAUACUGGGCGUAAAGCGUGCGCAGGCGUUUUGUAAGACAGAGGUGAAAUCCCCGGGCUCAACCUGGGAACUGCCUUUGUGACUGCAAGGCUUGAGUGCGGCAGAGGGGGAUGGAAUUCCGCGUGUAGCAGUGAAAUGCGUAGAUAUGCGGAGGAACACGAUGGCGAAGGCAAUCCCCUGGGCCUGCACUGACGCUCAUGCNCGAAAGCGUGGGGAGCAAACAGGAUUAGAUAGCCCUGGUAGUCCACGCCCUAAAACGAUGUCAACUGGUUGUUGGGAAGGUUCCUUCUCAGUAACGUAGCUAACGC